rnacentral:rRNA from 1 species
GACGAACGCUGGCGGCGUGCUUAACACAUGCAAGUCGAACGGAAAGACGCUGCUCUUGUGGCGUGCUCGAUUGGCGAACGGGUGAGUAACACGUGUGUAAACUGCCCUUGACUUUGGGAUAACUUCAGGAAACUGGGGCUCAUACCGGAUAGGAUCUCCUGCUGCACGGGGGGGGAUGGAGAGUUUCGGCGGUUGGGGAUGGACUGGCGGGUUAUCGGCUGGUUGGUGGGGUAGUGGCGGACCAAGCCUUUGACGGGUAGCCGGCCUUGGAGCGGUGCCAGGGACCUGGGGCCUGAGAGAGGGCGCAGUCGCGUACCGUAGGCAGCAGUGGGGAAUCUGGCGGAACGGGCGGACGCGUGUGGCGGCAAUGCCGCGUGCGGGAUGCCCUCCUUCGGGUUGUAAACCGCUUUCGCAUGUAACGAAGCCGGAGUGACGGUAAUGGGUCAAGAAGCACCGGCUAACUACGUG